AUAUCUAUCUAUAUAAAUAUAUAUAUAAUAGAGAAAGACAGAGGAAAGAGAUUUUGUUGUGUUUUUUUUUGUUUUGUUUGUUUGUUUUGUUUUUUCUUAAUUAUUGCAAUCAGGAUGUAGCCAAGGAAUAAUGAAGGAACUCCAAAUCCCAGCAGCUAAACAGCCAUCUCCACCAGUGGAACCUUCCUGGAUUUUUUAAGCAAGGUUGUGGCAAGUGAGACAGGAUACAGGGAUAUAAACUGCCACCCCCUUCUGUUCCUAAAAGGAGCAAGAAAAGGUGACAUGGUGCUUUUCCAACCCCUGUUCUUGUGCUUGCUGUAUAUCAUGUGUUCUGGUGGGAAGACCCCAGACCUGUCCCACUCAUGUGGGAGAAAUUUUUCCCUUAGAAUGACUCAAGCUGUAAAGAUUUAGUUCCAAAGCACAAGGAGAACUUCUUCCAAAUAACACAAGAGGGAAAAAAAAUGAAUUUCUGUUCCCAAAGUGAAAUGUUGAAUGUUUCUCAAGCACUGUCGUCUUGUCUAUAAUGCCAACCAAGAUGCUUGGCUCUAUUUCUUCAAGUUAAAGCAUUGAGUUCCCUCCUAGAGGAUUCUACAGAGCAAAUAUCACUGCCCUGGUCCCAUGACUCAGUUCCACUGCCAUGAAAAAGGAAGGAAGGAAGGAAAGAGGAACAUUGUACAGAACACCUUUAUAUUUAUAUUUAAGAAAUAAUAAUAAUUAAUAAUAAUAAUAAUUGAACUGCUGAUGGUGAAGAAAGCAAAACACGCUGAUGGCUUACAGUAACAAGCUACUGGAUUCUCUACAUCAGUUCAAAAUACAUGAGAACACAAGGAGAAACAGGAAAAGAAAAUGAGAUAAUAAUACUGUAGGAAAAAUUGCAUUUGAGAAAUACUCACCUAGGUUGUGUGUGGUUGCCCCCUCCCCACAGAUAGCAUUUUGGAAAUGAUACAGCUUCGUUUGGAUUUGAACAACGGUGAAAGCAGAAAUAAAAGAGAUUAAUUAAGGACCAUAUUAUAUACCUACGUGGACUGGAAAUUAAUCCCGUUGCACAUGCAAAAUUACUUUGUAAUUCUAUAUAGAGUUUAAACAGAAGUCAUGUAUAUUUAAUUUAUUUUGUUAAACAAGAAAAAAAAGUGUAUGAUAUUUUCCUCAAAACUGGCAUUUCUAUGCAUAUUUUUGAUCAAAGAAAAUAAAGUGGGUUUUUUUUGUCAGGUUCUAUAGAUACCAUGCUCAGAAUAUGCUCAGUGUAACAACAGUAAACAGCUGCACUUCUCUGUAUGUCUUCUCACUCAUAAUCUCCUCGUAUCUUCUCAGGUUCUGCUACUGCCAACAUUCACAUUAGAAAAAUUACCUUUUUUCCACCAUUUAUAUUGUGAUUUUUCAGGUUGGAUAUUAGAAAAAUACUUGCUCACAGAAAGAGUUGUGAUAUAUUGGAACGGUCUGUCGAGGGAGGUGGUGGAGUCACCACGCCUGGAGCUGUUCAAGAAACAUGGAAAUGUGCCUCUGAGGGACAUUGGUUGGUGGAUGUGGUGGGGAUGGGUUGGUGGUUGGACUUGAUGUUCUUAGAGAUCUUUUCUAAUCGUAAGGAUUCCAUGACUGUAUGAUUGCAGUGACGGGGUCAUUUCCCACAGAGUUCUUGUCACCUCCAGGAGCAAAGAGCUCUGCUUACAGAGAAAUCCAUUUCAUUAUGCUUUUUAUUUUGGUGUAUAUUUUUUCAGGGAGGGUGAAGGGGAGAGGAGGAAGAGGUUGCAAACCACAAACCUGAUGGAUUUUUUCUUUUAAAAAGAAAGUUUUAUAAAUCAAAGCAUAAAAACACGUGAGUCUGUAAAAUGAGCUUUAGCCUCAGGGUGCUCAGGAGGAGAAAACAUGUAAUGGGGUGAGACCUUUCCAUGAUGCUUCAGUGAUGGAGCAAUUGUUUGCUGCUUGCUUGAGUGCCACUCAAAGCUUGUUGCAGGGAAAAAAAAGAAGAGAUGUGCCAAUUUUUAGGUUUGAAAGUACUUCUUUCUCAAGCCUGCUCUGCAAAAGAGAUCUUCAACUUCAGCUGCUCUGACUUAGAGUGAAACACUUCAUUUAAGCUGAAACAAAAGAGUGCUUCAGGCUUUUGUUUUUCUCAGAAUGUUUCCAAAACUAUUUUCUCUGCAUCAACUUGCAGUUAUUUUUCUGCUGACUUCUUGCAUCCUCAUAUGCAAACCAAACAGCUCCCUUUUUGCUCAGCCAGAUCACUGUGAGAUGGGGUCCUCAUCCAGCAAAGCAUGAAUGCUCCCACUUUCCCUCACCGUCACAUGGUAUCCCAAAAGUCCCCUUUUUGCCUUGGCCACCAAGGUCAAUGGCUCUCUUAACACAAUGGUUUUUCUGUAGAGGUUAUAACAAAGCAUCCUACUGCUAUUUUUUAUUAUUAUUACCAAUAUUUUUUAAGUGGCAUAGUUCAUUAAAAGCACAUUAAAACUACACUUUACUGAGUCACUUCAUGGAAAAAGCCAAAAUGCCUUUAUGCACUACAUGCAUCACCUACUUUUUAAGAAGACAGCAUGUGGCUGACACUAAGGGCUAUGUCUUACAACUCAUGCCUACGUAAACCUACUUUUUGCACUGUGGUAGGUACUGAGAACAUCUCAGCAGCAUUCAGGGCACAGUAGAAGGCAGAUCCACCUGUAAGCUUGCCAGCUUUCUCAGCUAUCUGUGUUGGUGCUACAGCAGUAUGGUGCCUAGCUCAUACUGAUACCAGCUUUAGAAGAGGUGCACAGCCAGUUUCAUUUGGUUCAGCCCUAUGCAAACCCUAAGUGAUGGCCUUACAACUUUUUCUAAUGGCAGUUAUGUCACUGACCCUCAGAUCCUGUGAUUCCCAUAGGGUAUAAUCUUCCUGCUGAGCACUUGGCUCUCAACUGCGACCUUCUACCUGCUGUGAUCCAGGGUGAGGCCCUUCCAUGAUGCUUCCAAGAUGAUAGCGCCAGGUGGAUCAAGUGAAAGGAGCUUCCUUCUGCCUGUUGAAGUUCCAGUUCGGAAGGAGAUACUGCAAACACUUGGAUUUGCACGUAUAUUUUAUAUCUUGUCUGGGUCUUGCACUGAUUUGCUGGGCCUAGGUGGAUUUGGUGUUUAGAGGAGUUAUUUCAACUCUACAGGACACCUGUAAGAAAUCUUCUGAGUCACUUGUCUCUUGCCUACCACAUGCCAUUUCUUUUAGGGCUCAAUUGUGCUUUGCAUGUAUUGCAAAAUCUUCUUUAGCCUAAAUAAAUUCUGCCAGGUCCUGCUCAUGCCUGAGUAUUUAUUUUUUCACCAAUGAGACAAGAUUUGGACUCAUCUCUGCUCAUACAUACAAGGCAUUUAGAGGAAAUCUUAGUCUUACUAUUAACUACUGACCCUAUUUGGAACACAGAAGAGUUUGGGUUUUUUUGUUUUAUACAUAAGGAUGUGGGCAUAUGGAUGUAAGUGCUGGGCUGUGAUACAGAAAAGAGUUGUACUUUAAAAGCCAUCAAGCUUCAAAGAUCAAAAGAACGUUAGGCUUAGAGUUCUCCAUCUUUGUUUAAUUUAUUUGCAUUACAGAUCAAACAUGGCCUUACAUGUCGGUUUGUGUGUGGCAUUUUUAAGCUUUGUAUGGACAAUGCUUGUACUGUCAGCCCUUUUAAACUGAAAACCUUUAUCAGACAUUUACAAAUAAAAAGUGUUGUGUGAUUUUCAAACAGUAGCAAACAGACUAACCAAGGACAUCAAAAAGAGAUGGGAUGGCACUAUGUGUGCAUCUGGCUGUGCAAUAAAAGCUAGAAAGGAGAAAAUAAUUAUUCUCUUAGGUUGUUUUGAGGGAAAGGGUGGUGGGAUGUGUGUGAAUACACAUGAGAAAUAUGUGCUGGAAUGAUGAAUAUUGAAAAAUUAUCUCUGCACCAUGACUCGGGCCUGAUUAAUUAAUUGUGUAUGUUGUGAAUCUGGGGCAGACUUUUUGGAAAAGUCUUCUAAUUACUGAGUAAAUAGGAUUAGGAAAGACAUGGACCUGCUGGAACCAUAAGAAUGAUCCAAUGGAUGGAACACCUCCCCUGCAAUGACUGGAUGAGAGAGAUGGGGCUGUUGAGCCUGGAGAAGUGAAAAACUCUGGGAAGACCUGAUAGUGAACUUCCAAUAUCUAAUGGGGUCUAUCAGAAAGGACAGAAUCUUUAGCAAGGUAUGUUGUGGCAGGACAUGACUAUGUAGGUAUCACCUCUGCCUAUGUGGUCUACCAAAGGAAGGGACAGAGCCUGCAUCUCUCACAAGUGUCACAUGAAGGAUGGGUCUAUAUGGGUGCUGUGUUCAGACACAAUGUACUGUGAAUGCUGUUAUAAUGAAAGGCCAUAGGGCUUCAUCCAGAGGUCCUUCUGGCCUCGGAGACAUGUAGCUGAGGAUACAAGCACAGCUUUGUGCCCCAGAAUGGUUGCAGAUAAUCACAGAUGUGCAGCUUAGGCAUUGCAUCCACAUCUGGCACGGGGGCUGCAAACUCAGCUCUGCUGCUCACAGCCCCACUUCCUUCCAGGCUGUAAGUAUGCCAGCUCAGCAUUUUAUGGCUUAUUACUAAAGUAAUGGUGUUAUUUAUACAAAAUGGAGUUAUGCAUUGACAUUUUCAGCAUCUGCAAAUAACCCCUUGCGUAAACAGCAGCAUAAUCCUGUGAAUAUACACAUCCCACUCCUUUACACUCUGUUUUGGCAAAUCUUGCUGGGUUUGCUGCAGUUGGUGUCAGGGAGGAUUUACACGUGAAUUUGAGUGUAAACACAUGUGGUUAAUGGCCUGCUGAGUUGCUCAGACUUGUUAUUGGUGGAAGUCUCUUCAAUCCUUUUCUUUUUUGCUACGCAUGGAGGAGUGCGGAAUCCUUCUCAGCAUUCAUAUUGGUGUGGACACAAGUCUGUCCUGGCUCUCAUUUAAACACACGGGCUCACUAAUUGGGUUGUAGUGCUUGGCCGAUGUGAACCAUGCAGGUCUCCUGCACACACCUGGUCCUAGUGGCCAUGGGCAUCCAUCUGCAUUCUUCUGCUCACUCAUCCAUGUAGUGAGGAUUCGAGGGGCACAGCUACAAACACACCCAGCUUUAUGGGGUAGGUUUCACCAAUGGAGCUCAGCAAAAAUUUCACAGAGGGUAAUAAUGCGGCAGGAAGAUGUCAGCCUGAUGAGGGCCAGGGUCUGCAAUCCAAAUGGGAUGCACCCAGGCCAGUUUGGUUCCACAAUGGGGAUCUUGGGAGAAAAUGCUACUGGUUAGGAUUCUGUAGGUAUUUCAGACUUGAUCUUGACCUUAUCUUAACAGCAAAAUGUUUUUUGGGUUAAGAUUUCUAGGUUUUAAAAGUUUGCUACAAAUGCUAAUUGAAUGGAAAAAGAAAAAUGGAUUAUUGAAGUUCAAAACAAAACCAGAAUUAAAAUAUUGGUAUUGCUUUGACUAUUAAUUAGUCUACAAAUAGAGUGGAGUCUGAACAAAAGAGGGUGCUCAAUGUUACCUUUCAUGUUUAGCUCAGGCAUCUUUGUGUCUGUUCACCAUUUUCUUAUCCCUCAGAAUAAUCCAUGGUGCAAUGACCUCUAUUUGUUAGUAUUUCAGCUUUUACACUUCUUUUUCUCUUUCCCCUUCUGCUUGUCUCUUGUAAUUAGGAUUUAAUAUAUCCCGCAGUAUAUAUGGGCAUCAGCAAAGCAAUGCAUAUUCUUUUAUUUUCCCAUUUUCACUAACCAAAUCCAGUCUGUAGAGUGAUUUCCAUCUGAGUUGAUCGAUGCUUUGGUGAGAGGAGUAAUAAAUAACACUUUAGAGCAGACUUCAAAAUGCCUUUUUUCUUUGAUCUGAGUAAUUAAGGAGUCAAGUUGCUGUUCCUAAGCUUUUUCUGAUGGAAUUACAUGAGUUACACAGCUCUUCAUUUGUAUGUCAUUAAACAUUAUGUUUUAUUGCUGCUGUUCAAACAAUUAGUACCUAAAUAUGCCCCAUAUUCUCAUAAAGAGGCGGUAGCAGUGCUAAUGUUAAUGCCCUGAUUAACAGUUUGUUCCCAUCCAGUGUCCACCAUCAUGCCUGAAUGCCAUUUAAUGUCAAUCAGAUCUUUACUGAUGCCCUUCUGAAGUCAUUCUCUUCUACAGUCAUUUAACUGCAAAGCAAAGUGAGGGUAAUUCAAACAAGAAAGUUAACUAAAAAUGGCAUUUCUUUUAACACAGGAAUUUUUUAAACUUCAUUACAAGUUUUGGUUAUAAAAAGGCCACUGCUUCAUGGUGAUCAGUCAUUUUGACAUUUUUAUGGUGUUUUUAUUACCCCUGGCUCAUUUCCAUACUAAAGGGAACAUUUGUAACAAUACUUGCUCUUUCUGUUAUGAUUAGGAUUGUGCUUUUGCCGUGCUUUGUUGGGCUGUUGCAGUGCUCAAUAAUGCUCUUGGCACACGUCCUCCCAGACCCUGCGGUGUGUUUAUUCAAAGGGAAGGAAAAAGAAGUGUCUACUAAAACAAUAAACUACUACUGCUUGCGUUAACAUGGCCAUAACUUCCUUGUUCUGCAGACAAUCAGUUAGCAAAGCUGUUAGGUAAACUUGCUCCUUCACUGUUGAAAAAAUAAAUAUUCAUGAAUCUUGCAGCCACGUUUUCCCAUGCUUUAUAAUGGAGUUGAAGACGAUGAAGGAUUUUAAAGCUAAUAAUUUAACCAGAGAGAUAAGGAUGGGGGCCCAGAUCCUGAAAGCAGUGGGAGCUGGGAUCCUAAAUUGUACUGGACUACAUAAGGAAGGAUGGGAGCCAGUCAACACUGGGGAAGCCACGCUAAUUAAACCCAAGAUCUCAGAGCUCAUGGGGAAAACCACCCUCACCCACCCUGCAGGAGAAGCACAAUGGCACAAUGGCACCCUCUGUUGCCCUGCACGCUGCUCCCACGUGGAUGUAUGAACUCCCAAAGGUAUCCAUUCCCCAUCUCCAAAUCUCAUCUCUUCCUGUCGAGCUUCCUGGUUUGUUUGGAGUUAUCCUGUUAUUUCCAUUUGUAAUAAAAAUCUGUCUUGUUCUUUUUGUACUGAGUGGAGAAACACUGAGAGGAUCGUCACACUCUUUUCAUGAACAGUGGCCCCUUGUCCCCAUUUUGUCCUCCCUAAGUGGCAGCUCCUUGCAACAGUGGUAUUAACCCCUGAGCUCAGCCCUGCAAAGCGGUGGUCGUUCCCAGCAUUAACUGGAAAGCAAUUAGUCUUUAUGAGAUUGGGUUGUCCAACUCUCAUGCAAUUAAUUAAACAAAAACUUUGUUCAUUAAUUAAAAUACAUAGUGAAUCUGAUUUUUGCUCUGAUCCUCUGUGUGUUCAUAAGCAAACAACCAGUUCCUUUUAUUCUUGUAUCCUUGUGAACACACUUUAAUUGCUCAUUAAUAUAAAGUUAAUGGGCUGACACACAACUAGCUGCUUCUUUCUUUUUGGACUUCUCUAACAAUGACUUUUUUGUGUGUAUCUGGCAAAGAAGCCAGAAUCAACCAACUUUUUUUCUGUGUUUUACUCCCAUGCCAUGCUGUAAAGGACUGCACAAUUACCUUGCUGUAAUGUUAUUAUGCAGGACUGAUUUUGCUGUGAUGGCAUAAGAGGAAUUAGAUAUGCCCUUUCUAUUGUUGUUGAUAUGACUGUGCCUGUUUUCCCCAUAUGCAGACUGAAAGAAUUAUCAGAAGCAGUGAGUAGAACUUAUCACUUAGAAAUGAUUACUCAGAAGUCAUGAAGUGAUGUUAAUGUGAACAGAUUUCAGUGCAUCUAUUUGACAAACACAAAUGGUCUGUGAGUAUGUUGAAGUAUAACAAAAAACAAGUUGGAAAUAUUUGACAUGCUGUGUCUGUUCAGUUUUAAGCAGCCUCACCUACUGUGCCAAUGACUUACAGUCAGAUUUGGAUCUUGCAUGCUCAUCAUCAGCUUUCAGGACCCACGCUACAUCAUUUGCUUCCUUUGAUUCCAAAAAGAUUUUGUCAAGACAUUGAAUCGAAUUUUAUCCCAGGCCUCACAAAUACAUCCGUGUUUGACAGCUGUGGGAAAGAAGGGGGUUCAAGCUGAAUCUAUUGUUUGUUCAGAAAUAUCUAAUUUCAUAAGUCAAAUUACUCGUAAUGAUUCCACACUAAUUUGUCAUUUGAGUCCUUUGCAGGCCUACUUUCUCCCAGAUGAUGGGAGAUGAGAAGAAUUGCCUAAGCUUUUGGUACUGUGUAGAUCUCUGCUGAAACACAUUCUGAUUGCUGCUGACCUCGAUACAUCUUUUUUCUUAUAAGCUUAAGCCCGCAAGCUUCAGAAUUCAACAUAAAAGAGCAGCUGCCAUCUGAUUUUGUUCUCAUUUAUAGAGAAACAACUCAAUUUCAGGAAAUAAAUAAAUAAAUAAGCAAUUCAAUUUUAAAAUGACCAAGAAAAGUUUGACUGAAAUGAAAACAAAACCAAAAUAGCCACGCUUUAAAACAGUGCAUUUCAACAGGACUUAAAGUGUUCCUCCCUGCUGUUUUCUCAAACUGAAGUGCUGACAAAAUCAGUAUGUUUCCUGAAGUGUUUCUUUUUUAUCAGAUUUGCAUGUUUUGGUGAAAUAUAGAUCCACUGAAUUGA